UACAGAGGUCCCAAGCGUUGUUCGGAUUCACUGGGCGUAAAGGGUGCGUAGGCGGUUGGGUAAGUCUGUCGUGAAAUCUCCGAGCCUAACUCGGAAACUGCGUCGGAUACUAUUCAACUCGAGGAAUGGAGGGGAGACUGGAAUUCUCGGUGUAGCAGUGAAAUGCGUAGAUAUCGAGAGGAACACCAGUGGCGAAGGCGAGUCUCUGGACAGUUACUGACACUGAGGCACGAAGGCCAGGGGAGCAAACGGG
rnacentral:rRNA from 1 species